rnacentral:rRNA from 1 species
UACGUAGGGCGCAAGCGUUGUCCGGAAUUACUGGGCGUAAAGCGCGUGUAGGCGGACUGGUAAGUCGGACGUGAAAUCCCUGAGCUCAACUCAGGAACUGCAUCCGAAACUAUUAGUCUGGAGUGGUGGAGAGGGAAGCAGAAUUCCUGGUGUAGAGGUGAAAUUCGUAGAUAUCAGGAGGAACACCGGUGGCGAAGGCGGCUUCCUGGACGACUAACUGACGCUGAGACGCGAAAGCGUGGGGGAGCAAACAGG